AGUGAACGCUGGCGGUAGGCCUAACACAUGCAAGUCGAACGGCAGCACAGUAAGAGCUUGCUCUUACGGGUGGCGAGUGGCGGACGGGUGAGGAAUCCAUCGUAAUCUACUUUUUCGUGGGGGAUAACGUAGGGAAACUUACGCUAAUACCGCAUACGACCUACGGGUGAAAGCAGGGGAUCUUCGUACCUUGCGCGAUUGAAUGGGUCGAUGUGGGAUUAGCUAGUUGGCGGGGUAAAGGCCCACCAAGGCGACGAUCCGUAGCUGGUCUGAGAGGAUGACCAGCCACACUGGAACUGAGACACGGUCCAGACUCCUACGGGAGGCAGCAGUGGGGAAUAUUGGACAAUGGGCGCAAGCCUGAUCCAGCCAUACCGCGUGGGUGAAGAAGGCCUUCGGGUUGUAAAGCCCUUUUGUUGGGAAAGAAAAGCAGCAGGUUAAUACCCCGCUGUUCUGACGGUACCCAAAGAAUAAGCACCGGCUAACUUCGUG
rnacentral:rRNA from 1 species